rnacentral:pre_miRNA from 1 species
AUGCGCUGCAGCAGGUUGCUGGCUCUGCUUAUGAGAGGGUUUCAGCUCUCGUUGGUGCUGGAGCUCCCGUGGGCCACGUCACCCUCCCUUCACCCUU